CCUACGGGAGGCAGCAGUGAGGAAUAUUGGUCAAUGGACGAGAGUCUGAACCAGCCAAGUAGCGUGAAGGAUGACGGCCCGAUGGGUUGUAAACUUCGUUUAUAGGGGAAUAAAAUGUGCCACGUGUGGGAUUUUGUAUGUACCAUAUGAAUAAGGAUCGGCUAACUCCGUGCCAGCAGCCGCGGUAAUACGGAGGAUCCGAGCGUUAUCCGGAUUUAGUGGGUUUAAAGGGAGCGUAGGUGGGUUGUUAAGUAAGUCGUUAAAGUUUGCGGCUCAACCCUAGAAUUGCCGUUUAAACUGGCAGUCUUGAGUACAGUAGAGGUAGGCGGAAUUCGUGGUGUAGCGGUGAAAUGCUUAGUUAUCACGCAGAACUCCGAUUGCGAAGGCAGCUCACUGGACUGCAACUGACACUGAGGCUCGAAAGUGUGGGUAUCAAACAGGAUUAGAUACCCCAGUAGUC
rnacentral:rRNA from 1 species